rnacentral:tRNA from 1 species
GGUUAGCACUCUGGACUUUGAAUCCAGCUAACCGAGUUCAAAUCUCGGUGGGACCU